CUUUGCCCCGCCCCUCCUGCGCCAGCUCGCCCUUUCGCUGACUGCCUCAGGAGUGGCCUCGUCGUGCCUUAAAAUCCCCACAGGCAGUUAACAUAGUCCCCCGCAAUAAGUGAAGCUGACUGACUGGGAGGAGCGGGGCCACAUCCUCCAGGGGGUCCCCCACCCCCACAGGACACCGCCUCCUCCUGCUGCUGCUGCUACUCACAUGGCAGAAGAUCAUGGCUUGAGCAAUGGUGAUGGCCCCGUAGAUAUUACACAAGGCCUGGAACUUCUCGUCUCUGCUGUUGCACAGGACGUAAUACUGCUUGAUGGUGUCCAGUGUCUCCUCCUCACGCUUCAGUUUGAUGAUGUUUGGGUCGGGCACCACUUUCUGAGCAAAUUUCCAGACAGAGUCUUCAAAGGUGGCAGAGAAAAGCAGCAUCUGGCAGUUCCUGGGCAGCAUCCUGCAAGGGGAGGCCCAGGUGUCCAGCAUGACCCUGACCCGGGCUUUCCCUGGAAGGACCAGGGCACAGCCUCCCCAGGCCUGAUGACCUGCGUCCCCAGGAAGGGGCAGUGGGGAGCAGCUGUGGGGAGGAAAGGGGAGCAGACGUGGGGCAGGGACGGGUGACCGAGAGUGUCUCCCUCCUUAACCCGGGCAGGGGGCGUGCUCAGCGCUGACAUGGAAAUAAAUGGCCCAUCAAACAAAUGCCCCUGAGAGCUGCGAAGAGCCUGGCAGGGGCAAGAAGGGGAGUGUGAGGGAACAGGAGCAGGAACUGCAGGUCGGGAGCCGAGAAGUCCCUCCUGGCUCGAGGCCCUACCUCUGGAUGCGGAUGCUCUGAUCUUGGUGGCCCUGAGUGGCUAUCAUCACGUCAGCCUCGUCCAGAACAAACACCUUGAUCUUCUUAGGGUCGAUGAACUUGAGCUUGGAGCACCAGUCCAGAACGGUCCCCGGGGUGCCAAUGACAAUGUGCUCACUGAUUUUCUGACCUCUUUCCACUGUGGAGACAAGAUGUGUUUUGUUUCAUGGGUAUUUCCAUGGCAAAGCCAGGUUCACUCUCCAAGCAAUUUUAAAGCUAUGAUGUAUUUUAAAGCAAUUGUUUUGAUGUUUGCAUUAAUAUUUUAAGGCAAGGUCAGGAUAGCACUAUAGUAUUUGAUGGACAUACACACAAAAAACAGACAGUAAUGCUGAUAAGAUUUGGUAAAGGCAUGAACCAUGAGAUGAAAACCUCUUCAGUAGUAUUCUUUUACAUUCUCUAUAAUCGUCAACCUCUUUCAAGGAUUUCAUACAUGUAUUUCUUCUCUGUCAACAUUAUUCUGCCUGGCCUGGAUUUGCAUUUUCCCACAAGUAGACUUUUUCAAAGUUAGUUUGUUGUGAAACAAGCAAAAGUAGAGUGGAUAAAGAAAAUAAUAAAAAUAUCUCCCAGAGUUAAUUGCCAUGAUCAUUCUAGAACAUUUUUACUCUAAUAGUGACAUUUUAAAAAUUAGGCUAUUAAACAAAUCCAGAAUUUGUAACAUUUUAUAAGCAACUGGUCUGCUCAAAAUGUCAAAUGUAACAUAUGGGGGGGGGUGGGGGUGAGGAUGUGAAGGGAGUGUUCUAGACUGCUAGAAACUAAAGAGAUACAACAACCAAAUGUAAUGCAUAUACACUGACUCAGUCUUGGUUCAACAAAAAAACCAUAAACACUUCUGGAACAAUUAGGGGGGAAAUUAAAAUGGAAAAGAUGCUAGUUAUCAGAGAAUCUGUAAUUUUGUUGGUUGUGAUAUGGGUAUUGUCGGUAUGGUGAAGAAUGUUCUUACUAUGAAAUGCAUACUAAAUUACUUUGAAAUAAAGAGUCACGAUGUUUACAAUUUU